GGCAGUUCAUCAGGAGUGAUGGCGUCUGGCACUCCCCUGAUCUAUGUGGUUUCGCCUUGUCCUGUCGUCAAAGGCUAUGUAGUGUAGGGAGAGUGCUUGUUUUUGGGCUUGUAAGGCCUACACAGAUUCCUGUAGGGUUGUCAGUUCCUGCUUGAUGCCUGAGAUAUCAUCCUCCGUGGAUUGCACCCUGUCUGUGAUAGCUUGUACGUCCACUUUAAUGGCCG